rnacentral:tRNA from 1 species
GCCUGGCUGGCUCAGUCGGUUAAGCACCUGACUCUUGGUUUCGGCUCAGGUCAUGAUCUCAUGGUUUGUGGGUUCAAGCCCCAUGUUAGGCU